rnacentral:rRNA from 1 species
UACGGGGGGAGCAAGCGUUGUUCGGAUUUACUGGGCGUAAAGGGCGCGUAGGCGGCCAGCACAAGUCAGUGGUGAAAUCUCCGGGCUUAACUCGGAAAGGUCAACUGAUACUGUGCGGCUAGAGUGCAGAAGGGGCAACUGGAAUUCUCGGUGUAGCGGUGAAAUGCGUAGAUAUCGAGAGGAACACCUGCGGCGAAGGCGGGUUGCUGGGCUGACACUGACGCUGAUGCGCGAAAGCCAGGGGAGCGAACGGG